rnacentral:lncRNA from 1 species
GGGAGAACUGAGGACUAAACUCUGACGGCCAUUCGUUGUUCUAAAUUUCUUCUUGAGGGGUCUGGAAGGAAUCAAGUCCAAGAGCCAGAGGCUGGAUUCUAUAGGUUUGCACCCAAACAACCUAUAGGCAUGACACAGCAAACCCUCACACAAACACUGGUUUUGCUUUAUGAAUUCAAUCCAAGACAGGGAAAACAGUCUCAAUUUUCUGGCACUCUCCCUCUUGAGCCCUGGAACUGGAGAAAUUCUAUGACAGGCUAUUCCUAUGUUGAAGUAAGAGAUGCACAGUCAAGAAAAGCCAAGAAACUCAAGUAAGUAUUGUAUGCCGGCACCAGAAGCACAGGACUGCUCUGACUGAAAGUGGCAAUAAAGGAAAGCUGAGACACGUGGGAAAAGGGACAAGAGCCAGAAGAAAUACAAAAGGAAAAAAACAGGCAGAGUAAAGGACAGCACAGAAUAGACAUGGUGGUGUGGAAAACAAGCAGCAAGCCGUCUGACAGCUGAGAAGAGCAGCAAAGAAACUUAGAGCAGUUCUGUCAUGUGGAGAGAGGGGCAAAUAGCCCCCAACCCCAAAAAGCGUGGUAAUUAAGGCAUUCACUCAUUCACUCAUUCAUUCAACAAACUUACUCUGUGGGAAAAGCUUAAACUUGAUUCACUUCUAAACACCCACUUCUAUUAUUUUUACAUUUUAUUAUGAUUUAAAUGUUAUUAUUAAAAAAUGUUUUGG